UGGGGAAUAUUGCACAAUGGGGGAAACCCUGAUGCAGCGACGCCGCGUGAGCGAUGAAGGCUUUCGAGUCGUAAAGCUCUGUCCUAUGGGAAGAUAAUGACGGUACCAUAGAAGAAAGCCCCGGCUAAUUACGUGCCAGCAGCCGCGGUAAUACGUAAGGGGCGAGCGUUGUCCGGAAUUAUUGGGCGUAAAGAGUGCGUAGGCGGCAAAUUAAGUCAGAUGUGAAAGCCCACGGCUCAACCGUGGAGGGUCAUUGGAAACUGGAAAACUUGAGUGCAGAAGAGGAAAGUGGAAUUCCAUGUGUAGCGGUGAAAUGCGCAGAGAUAUGGAGGAACACCAGUGGCGAAGGCGACUUUCUGGUCUGUAACUGACGCUGAUGUGCGAAAGCGUGGGGAUCAAACAGG
rnacentral:rRNA from 1 species